UUUCGUCCCCUUGGCAGGGACAGACCACCAUAAACACCGGAGGAAACAUCAAAGAAGCGCUUCGCAGGAGGUUCCCAAGCACUGAUGAUGUCGCCUAGCCAGGGGACGAAACGUUUGCAACAAAAACUUCCAGCUCGGCGAACAGAACCACAGCAGGCAUAACCUUUCUUCAGGAUUGGAGGGUUAUAACCGAAACGGCGCAUUCUCCACUUCCUGGCUUACGGUGUUCUUCCAGGACAGGCUUUAAGGGCAGAGUGGCCUCUUCCUGAUGUUCUUCAGUCAUUCCGGCUGCAAGUCCGAGUAGAUAAGAACUGAUAGUUUCAAUUUCACUUUGAUAUUGGUCUCCAGGGGAAACACGUUGAAGCAAAACUGACGUCGUUCCCUGGAUCUGUUCCCACGGGAGUCACCCAGUUAAACCCCACUACACUACCAACCUUUUCUCCAACUACCGCAAGUUCAAAACCAUCAAAAGGAGAGAUCUCUCUCUCUG